rnacentral:rRNA from 1 species
GACGAACGCUGGCGGCGUGCUUAACACAUGCAAGUCGAACGGAAAGGCCCUGCUUUUGUGGGGUGCUCGAGUGGCGAACGGGUGAGUAACACGUGAGUAACCUGCCCUUGACUUUGGGAUAACUUCAGGAAACUGGGGCUAAUACCGGAUAGGAGCUCCUGCUGCAUGGUGGGGGUUGGAAAGUUUCGGCGGUUGGGGAUGGACUCGCGGCUUAUCAGCUUGUUGGUGGGGUAGUGGCUUACCAAGGCUUUGACGGGUAGCCGGCCUGAGAGGGUGACCGGCCACAUGGGGACUGAGAUACGGCCCAGACUCCUACGGGAGGCAGCAGUGGGGAAUAUUGCACAAUGGGCGGAAGCCUGAUGCAGCAACGCCGCGUGCGGGAUGACGACCUUCGGGUUGUAAACCGCUUUCGCCUGUGACGAAGCGUGAGUGACGGUAAUGGGUAAAGAAGCACCGGCUAACUACGUG